GGGUGUGAUCAUAUUAGCAUUAAUGCACCGGAUCCCAUCAGAACUCCGCAGUUAAGCGCGCUUGGGCUAGAGUAGUACUGGGAUGGGUGACCUCCCAGGAAGUCCUAGUGUUGCACCCU
rnacentral:rRNA from 1 species